AGAAUCAACGCUGGCGGCGUGCCUAACACAUGCAAGUCGAACGAGAAAGUGGAGCAAUCCAUGAGUAAAGUGGCGACCGGGUGAGUAACACGUGACUAACCUACCUUCGAGUGGGGGAUAACAUCGGGAAACCGAUGCUAAUACCGCAUAAUAUCGCAAGAUCAAAGCAGCAAUGCGCUGGAAGAGGGGGUCGCGGCUGAUUAGCUAGUUGGCGGGGUAACGGCCCACCAAGGCGAAGAUCGGUAGCCGGCCUGAGAGGGCGCACGGCCACACUGGAACUGAAACACGGUCCAGACUCCUACGGGAGGCAGCAGUGGGGAAUUUUUGCGCAAUGGGGGAAACCCUGACGCAGCAACGCCGCGUGGAGGAUGAAGCCCCUUGGGGCGUAAACUCCUUUCGACCAAGACGAUAAUGACGGUACUGGUGGAAGAAGCACCGGCUAACUCUGCGCCAGCAGCCGC
rnacentral:rRNA from 1 species